CAGAAAAUAGUUUAUAUUUAAAAUAUUAAUUUUGGAGAUUAAUGAAAGGAGAUUAUUCUUUUUUCUGA
rnacentral:tRNA from 1 species